UUGAACUUCCUCACAGACAUUUACAGGAGAAAAAGAAACCUCCAGAUGGGCUAGAAUUACUAGAAAUGAGCAGAUGAUUUUGUAACAGAAGCAGAACUGGUUGGAUUUACCUCUGCAGUUUCAGAUAUCAGCACUCUGAUAAAUAUCCUGAUUUAACCUAGAGUAUUUCCUAAAGACUGAGACUGGCAGGAACAUAACUUACAGUUUCAGAAAAAGGCUUUUAAUUCAACUCAGCGUUGAUUGCAUGGAGCAGUCGGUACACGUGGGAAAUGACACGGCAAUUGCAUAGAAAGCAAUCUGGAAGUAGGCACCUGAAGAACUACGUCUGAUGGUUUUUCAGCACUUUGUGCUAUAGCCUCCUUGCCUCUGAACUUCGUUCGUCAUCAGACUAGGGAAGGGGCAAAACUGAUCUUCUGUUAGCUGUGUGCCUCCUGCAUCAUAGCUCCAGCCCUGGCUGUUAUCGGAGGAACCAGGGGAACCUUAGUCUGUUCUAAGUUACGUUCAUUUGCAAUAUCCCCCUUCUGAACAUUUCCCUCAUGAAGAAUAACUGGAAAACAGCAGGACUGGGCUGUACUCCAGCCUUUUCCCAGCAUUCGCCCCAAGUUGGAGACCAUGUUUGUGGCCACCCUGCCAGGUCUACACCCAGGGAGGAAUUCACAAAACUAUAGUCUCUCUUCAGCUCAGGGGUGCUGUUGUCUGCACAAUUAGGGACACAGAAAUUGCCAUAUCAAAUCAGAAUAAUGGACUGUCUAGUACAAUAUCCUGAGGCCAGUAACAGAUGCUUUGGAGAAAAACGUUAAAAAGAGUCAGUGGUAGGUAAAUGUGGAACAAUCUGCUGGUAGAGAAAGUUUUUCUAAUUUUUGUGGAAAAUUAGGUAUUACACAUUAUUUUGUAUAAUAUGGACCUCUGCUUACCUCUGAUAUUAAUCUUGCCUUACAAGUGUUAAGCUGAGGGAGACUAAUAAGGAAAACCAAAUAAGUAACAAUAACGGCCAAGAGGAAAGGUUGGCAUAGGGAAUACCAAGGAUUCUUAAUGAACUGUCACUGAGAAAAAAAACCUAGUCUAGUGUACACUCAGAUGGCAACGCUGACUCUUUCUUGCCCAAACUUAGGAUUAAAUUAUGUAUCAGGAUUGAAAAAUAAUGAUUUCAAAGGAUGGGAAGAGAACUUGAUUGAGAGGCUUGUCAGUAACACAAAUUUAACAUGGAGCAAAGCACCCCUGAAAACAUGUUGUGAAAAUUAAGCCAUUUCUCUAAGAUUUAUGAGAGCACCUGACUGUGGAAAGGCCAACAGUCUUGGAGGAAUGUGCGAGGUGACGGUUAAGCCACAUCCACAAGCAGUUUAUCAUCAGCUGCAUUCUGCGUGAAGGGGUAUAACAGCACUCCUGUUGUUAGUUACUGCCGGAGAAGCUGCUUCCUUUCUGCUGUUAGGAGCUGCCUUUCAUUUAAAAUAUGGUUCUGGUUACAGUGUACUUGAAGUGUCUGAGACCUUCUCAUGCAUGAAGUAUAAGUGCAAAUUUGGCAUCAGAGCAGACUGUACAGAUUGUCAAGAUGAGGAACAAAACCACUUCUGUAGAAAUACUUCCCCCCCAACCCGCCAUCUAAUUUAUAAUUGUCGUCUG